rnacentral:rRNA from 1 species
CCCAGACUCCUACGGGAGGCAGCAGUGGGGAGUAUUGGGCAAUGGGCGCAAGCCUGACCCAGCAACGCCGCGUGAAGGAAGAAGGCUUUCGGGUUGUAAACUUCUUUUCUCAGGGACGAAGAAAGUGACGGUACCUGAGGAAUAAGCCACGGCUAACUACGUGCCAGCAGCCGCGGUAAUACGUAGGUGGCAAGCGUUAUCCGGAUUUACUGGGUGUAAAGGGCGUGUAGGCGGGGAAGCAAGUCAGAUGUGAAAACCACGGGCUCAACCUGUGGCCUGCAUUUGAAACUGUUUUUCUUGAGUACUGGAGAGGCAGACGGAAUUCCUAGUGUAGCGGUGAAAUGCGUAGAUAUUAGGAGGAACACCAGUGGCGAAGGCGGCCUGCUGGACGACAACUGACGGUGAGGCGCGAAAGCGUGGGGAGCAAACAGGAUUAGAUACCCCAGUAUUA